GGGCCCGCACAAGCAGCGGAGCGUGUGGUUUAAUUCGAUGUUACACGAAGAACCUUACCAGGGUUUGACAUGCAGGUGGUAGGGAACCGAAAGGGGACCGACUCUUCGGAGAGCCUGCACAGGUGCUGCAUGGCUGUCGUCAGCUCGUGUCGUGAGAUGUUCGGUUAAGUCCGCUAACGAGCGCAACCCUCGCUGUGUGUUAUACGUGUCACACGGGACUGCCGGUCUUAAGCCGGAGGAAGGUGGGGAUGACGUCAAGUCAGCAUGGCCUUUAUAUCCUGGGCUACACACACGCUACAAUGGCCAACACAACAGGUCGCGAAACCGCGAGGUGGAGCCAAUCCCCAAAGUUGGUCUCAGUUCAGAUCGCAGGCUGCAACCCGCCUGCGUGAAGACGGAGUUGCUAGUAACCGCAGGUCAGCUAUACUGCGGUGAAUACGUUCCCGGGCCUU
rnacentral:rRNA from 1 species